GAUCAGGGCUCAGGAUGAACGCUAGCUACAGGCUUAACACAUGCAAGUCGAGGGGAAACGACAGAGGAAGCUUGCUUCCUUUGGGCGUCGACCGGCGCACGGGUGAGUAACGCGUAUCCAACCUUCCCGCAAGUAAGGGAUAACCCGUAGAAAUGCGGCCUAAUACCUUAUGUUUUCCUUAGAGGGCAUCUGAUGAGGAACAAAGAUCCGUCGCUUGCGGAUGGGGAUGCGUCUGAUUAGUUAGUCGGCGGGG
rnacentral:rRNA from 1 species